CGGCCUAGGAGGGACUUCCUCCUCUUUCGGCCCCGCCUCCUGGCUCGGGAAUCUCUGUUGGGCGGGGAAGUCUCGCGAGCUUUCCUCCCUGCUCCGCGAGAAAUUGUCUGUAGAAGGUUGAUGGAGCAGUGGUGUUUGUUGCUGAACUGUUUUCCGGAUUUGUAGGGCGGAUGUUGAAUGGCGGGUUGUCAACUCUGGACUUGCUGUCAACUGACCAGAGCCAGGCUGGGAAGUCCGAAUGCGUGGACAGGUCUAGGGCGAAGCCAAGUGUAGGGACUCAUUCUGUCAGCCCGAAAAGGGCUGGGGGCGGGGGUUGAGGGUGUUUGAGUCUUAUGUGAAGUCGAGCCCCUCACCCAUUAAAAUCCGUUAUAGAAUCUGCGAGACUUCAUCCGGGAAAGUGUUCCAUGGCCACGGAUCAAGAAAGUAUAAAGGAUCAAGAAAAUUAGCCUGGUCUGCAGCCAUUCAUCUGUAAAGACUGCACAUAGAAAAACAGACAGGAGCAUCUCUUUGAGGACCAGGCCAGCCUAUGGAUCCUGCUGAGGACAGAAGAGGUUGCCGGUUCCCUUGGAACUGCAGUUUACUGGUAGUUGCCAUAAACUACCACUGUAAGCCACCACAUGGGUGCUGGGAACCCAGUCCUAACUGCUGAGCCAUCUCUCCAGCCCAUUUCUAAGUUUUGACUGCUGUUUGCCAAACUAUGGACAUUACAUACAUUGAAUCUUAUGCUCGAGGUUUUGAAAUCGUUUUGCUCAUUGUCUGCAAUAUUUCCCUCUUUGCCACUAGAAGAAAAAGCAACACAAUAAAAAUUGUAACUCCAUCAAUACUAGAGAUUGCACAUAGACCUCAUGCAUGGUGUGCAAACACUCUACCACUGAACUAUACCCUCAACCACUGGAAUGUCUUCUUACAGAACCCUGAUUAUUCUGGAAUGUAGACCAAGCCAACAUGGAAGAAUCAGAGAACCUCCUGCCUUUGUCUCCUGGGUGUUGGGAUUAAAAAUAUGUGUGCCACAAGGCCUGGCUGCUGCUUCAUUUUUUGACUCAGGAAUUUUAAAGAGUAUUUUUAGAUUUUCAAAUGACAGGCUAUAGGACUAGCACCUUAAGAUUCUGAUGCAAAUGAGAGAGGAACAUUGUACAUUAAUUCUUUCCUAGGUGCCUACUCAAGCAAAGUGUUAACUAUACUUCUAGAAGAUAAUGUGACCAUCACCUCAUGAUCUAGCAUUAUAAAUUUAAGAUAAAGCUGAGGAACUAUGAGAAUAACUGAGUUUUUCAAGAUCUUACCACUGAAAUUUGAAAAUAAAUCUGUAUUUAAAAAACAAAUCUUUAAUAUCUUUA
rnacentral:sRNA from 1 species